GAUGAACGCUGGCGGCGUGCCUAAUACAUGCAAGUCGAGCGAACAGAUAAGGAGCUUGCUCCUUUGACGUUAGCGGCGGACGGGUGAGUAACACGUGGGUAACCUACCUAUAAGACUGGAAUAACUCCGGGAAACCGGGGCUAAUGCCGGAUAACAUUUAGAACCGCAUGGUUCUAAAGUGAAAGAUGGUUUUACUAUCACUUAUAGAUGGACCCGCGCCGUAUUAGCUAGUUGGUAAGGUAACGGCUUACCAAGGCAACGAUACGUAGCCGACCUGAGAGGGUGAUCGGCCACACUGGAACUGAGACACGGUCCAGACUCCUACGGGAGGCAGCAGUAGGGAAUCUUCCGCAAUGGGCGAAAGCCUGACGGAGCAACGCCGCGUGAGUGAUGAAGGUCUUCGGAUCGUAAAACUCUGUUAUUAGGGAAGAACAAAUGUGUAAGUAACUGUGCACGUCUUGACGGUACCUAAUCAGAAAGCCACGGCUAACUACGUGC
rnacentral:rRNA from 1 species